rfam:Brachypodium distachyon strain Bd21 chromosome 1, whole genome shotgun sequence.
CUUGCGCGAUAAGUUUGUAUUGGCCUAAUGCCAUUUGCUAUGCAUUCUGCUGAAAGUCUUUCCUGCUAUAUCAAUAUGGAAAGUGGGCAGUUGGGUUAAGCUUUGUGCUUUCUUCAACAAUCAUUUUCCACUCAUCU